GACGAACGCUGGCGGCGUGCCUAAUACAUGCAAGUCGAACGCAGUGGGGACGGGUGAGUAACACGUGGGUAACCUCCCAUCAGAGGGGAUAACACUUGGAAACAGGUGCUAAACCGAUACUGAUGGAUGGACCCGCGGUGAAUUAGCUAGUUGGUGAGGUAACGGCUCACCAAGGCCACGAUGCAUAGCCGGCCUGGGAAGGAGGUCGGCCACACUGGGACUUAGCACCGGCCCAAACUCCUACGGGAGGCAGCAGUAGGGAAUCUUCGGCAAUGGACGAAAGUCUGACCGAAGAACGCCGCGUGAGUGAUGACAGCCUUCGGGUUGUAAAGCUCUGUUAAUCGGGACGCGGUACCGGAAUAGAAAGCCACGGCUAACUACGUGCCAGCAGCCGCGGUAAUAC
rnacentral:rRNA from 1 species